rnacentral:rRNA from 1 species
CCUACGGGAGGCAGCAGUCGAGAAUAGUCUACAAUGGACGAAAGUCUGAUAGUGCGACGCCGCGUGAACGAUGAAUCCCUUCGGGGUGUAAAGUUCUUUUAUAUGUGAGCAAUGCCUUAUAUGUGAUUAGCAUGUAGGGAGAGAUAUUAGCAUAUGAAUAAGCAACGGCUAACUCCGUGCCAGCAGCCGCGGUAACACGGGGGUUGCAAGCGUUGUCCGGA